rnacentral:rRNA from 1 species
CCUAGGGCCGCAGCAGUGGGGAAUAUUGGACAAUGGGGGAAACCCUGAUCCAGCAAUGCCGCGUGUGUGAAGAAGGCCUGCGGGUUGUAAAGCACUUUCGGUUGGGAGGACUGCUUCUAGCACUAAUAUUGUUGGAAGUUGACGUUACCUUCAGAAGAAGCACCGGCUAACUCCGUGCCAGCAGCCGCGGUAAUACGGAGGGUGCAAGCGGUAAUCGGAAUUACUGGGCGUAAAGCGCGCGUAGGCGGCUAGAUCAGUCGGGUGUGAAAGCCCCGGGCUUAACCUGGGAACUGCAUCCGAUACUGUCUAGCUUGAGUACAGGAGAGGAGAGUGGAAUUCCACAUGUAGCGGUGAAAUGCGUAGAUAUGUGGAGGAACACCAAUGGCGAAGGCAGCUCUCUGGCCUGAUACUGACGCUGAGGUGCGAAAGCGUGGGGAGCAAACAGGAUUAGAUACCCUAGUAGUC